AUGUUAUGCCAAGAACAUAUUCCAUUACCUUGGUUUGAAGUGAAUUACAAGCUCGAAGUCGUUUAUAAUUCACACUAUAAAUUUCAAGUUUAUCCAAACCAAACAUUCAUUAUAAAAUCAUUACAAUCACAUUGCACCAAUAAUCCACAAAGAAAAAACUAUUACAAAAUGAACUUGAACAAAAUUCCUUAG